AUUGAACGCUGGCGGCAUGCUUUACACAUGCAAGUCGAACGGUAACAGGUUAAGCUGACGAGUGGCGAACGGGUGAGUAAUGCAUCGGAACGUGCCCGGUAGUGGGGGAUAACGCAGCGAAAGCUGCGCUAAUACCGCAUACGAUCUAAGGAUGAAAGCGGGGGACCGUAAGGCCUCGCGCGAUCGGAGCGGGCGAUGUCAGAUUAGGUAGUUGGUGGGGUAAAGGCUCACAAAGCCAACGAUCUGUAGCUGGUCUGAGAGGACGACCAGCAACACUGGGACUGGGACACGGCCCAGACUCCUACGGGAGGCAGCAGUGGGGAAUUUUGGACAAUGGGCGAAAGCCUGAUCCAGCAAUGCCGCGUGCAGGAAGAAGGCCUUCGGGUUGUAAACUGCUUUUGUACGGAGCGAAAAGGUCUCCUCUAAUACAGGGGGCUCAUGACGGUACCGUAAGAAUAAGCACCGGCUAACUACGUGCCAGCAGCCGCAGUAA
rnacentral:rRNA from 1 species